rnacentral:ncRNA from 1 species
CGGCUUCACUACGGGCGCUGAGUUCGCGAGCAUGAGAAAUCAACCUUGUCGAAUGGAUUCGAUGAGGAAUUUCGCAUGUCAUCGCUUGAACGAAGCUGAGAAUGAACCGUGAAUACUCGAUCAAGUUAAUGCUUGCGUGGGGAAUGUGCUGCCGCAUCCGU